UUGUUUAGAAAGCGCUGCAUGUAUAAAAUUAAUUGCCCGGCAAUGCAAGUUAUAUGUAUAGCGGAGGAAGACCAGCGGAGAAAUUUUCUUUUUUAAUUAUUGUUUCUACUUUUAAAAUGAUUGGGUGUACCAGCUUCGUUGGACCCACCAGUGGGCUGCUCUCACGUGUCCCACCGGCGCCGUCCUAUUGACGCGCCUUUGAUACUUUCCAAGUGCUACGCCAGGUCGAACGCGUGGACCCGGCCUCC
rnacentral:lncRNA from 1 species